CGGACACGGCUAAGCCGCGCACGGCUACACGCGGGAGGGUCCAACCCUCGUGUGCUCGGGUCCGUGGUGUCGCAACACACCAAACGCCUGCUGACGCAGACGCCCCUGCGGGGGCGUUGCAUAAGACUCGGGGUGCUUUAUAUCGCAGCGCUCUCUCGCUGCAACGGUAGAAAAGAGUUUCAUCGCCUUUAUUUGCACAGGCAGUCUCCCGGGGCUUACAGCGGUCGCAAUAAAUACGUUUCUGAAACUGAAACUGAGCAGGGCUCAGAAACCUCGCGCUGCUGCGGCCGUGACCCUCUUCAACCGAGAAAUAGCUCUAGCUGCAAUACUUGCAUUCAAUGCAGCAUUCAACCGGAUUCGCAGCAGAUUUAAAAAUAUUAUGCAGCUUUGAGGACUCAAAGUUCUGAAAGCGCUUAGGCUGCAGCCCUUGCAUGGUGACCGACAAGACGCAGAAGCAUAUGUAUUGUGCAGGUAAGAAUAACUUGCAGGUAGCAAUAGCUCCCUGCCGGGGCGCGACGCACUUGCGGCGGAAACCGUGCGCGCGUAGCCAGGAAAACAAAAAAUAAAUAAAACGGGGGUUUUGUGUUUCAGAAAAAUUCUUUACGCAAUGUUUAUGAAACACUUUGCCCCGUUGCAGCGAGAGCGCACAGCGAUAUAAAGCGCCCCGAGUGUUAUGCCCCAACCACUUGCAUGCGUCGGAAAGCUUCGGCAUGCGCCGAAGCAUCAAAAACGUCGGUUGGGACAAUGCAUUGGUCGGGAACACGGCGAAGCGUGACGAUGCGCAGCGAUUAUGUCUACUGCCAAUGCGAGGUGAUGCUGCGCCGGCAUGCACCAAUGAGAGGCUGCGACGCGUCGCAAGCGUCAACCAAUCGGAGGCUGCGAAUCCUCCGGCUCCUAUGCCUAUGAUGGCCGACCGUGCGAAGCCGCCAGCACCAACGAUCGUCCGAGUUCUUUGGACGCACGACGCGCACGACAGUGUUCCUGAAAGACAGUGUUGUAAUAGAGGCUGACAACGACACGACCGACCGACCGACGACCGUGGGUUCUGGCAGCGUGACGUGGAUCCAAAGCGACUGCAAAUGACGCCGGCUAAUCCAACCUGCCCACUGGGUUCCGCCGGGCUCGGUACAAUCGUCUGCUAAAACAGCCAACUGAAUCACGAUUGCCGCAACGUCUGUGCUUGUUGUGUGUGUAUUUAGUUGUGCUCAAAACAAAUGGAGACAUGUUUACAAGCUCCGAAGUCUGGACAAUCAGCAAUCGCCUAUCGCCGAUGUUGUUUACGUUACGCGUAGGCCUAGCGCGCCCAUCGAGUUCGUAACUGGCGAGUGAAGGAACCCAGCUGAGAAACUCUAUCGAAGGAAAUAAAUUUUCAGGUCCGUUUGGUGCUGCAGUGAUUUAAAAUAUGGCACUCCUGACGUCGUGUGAUGUGUGAUGUGGUGAAUGAACCGUGGGGAACUUGGGGGUGGUCAACCGCGGCGUGUUUCGUGUGGUGUCGGGUGACUCAAGUUUAAUGGGCAAGUUCUGCGCUGUCUCCAGUGGCAAAGAUAACAUCCGAAAUCGAAAGACACUAGUAGCCGAACUAUGGGAAGUACUUACAUUAUCAACCGUGCCGCUCGUUUCAGCUGACACUGCGCUCUUCUAUUCGGCAUAUGAAUCCAGUCCAGUACAAGUUCACUGUGCUCCUUCACUCACUUCUUUUAAGUGCAUCCGUCUUUUGGGCUAGUUGGAGAUAAAUCGCUCGUGUAGCAAUCAAGAACACUGACGCACUGAAGCAUACGUGACAACACAGUCAUGUUUGAUUCAGUGUGUCCUUAUAUUUGAGCACUGCAAAAAGAAAUCUGUUUGCAACGUGUGCCCCGUGUGCAGUGCAUAGCAGGAGCUGCAUCAUGCAAGACCUGUGCACGUAGCAGCGUAUACCAUGAUUGCUUCGAUGCCUGCUUCAGAAGCAGCAAGUACUGAGUCAGUGAAAGCGUAAUUGAUUUUUUAUCUCACUUUUUGUUUAUGGAAAGUGUAGCUGGUGUGAGUGCAUUGUGGGGAAGGUGAAAAGGUGUCGUCAGUGCUUUGUGCAGUCGGUAUGCUUAAACUGCUGGAAUCCCUUCAGAUUCUACUAAAAUGUUUCUUGCUGCGAUACUAUAAAUUGUAGUCAGGACAAAGAUCUACUCAAAACUAAGUUACUAAUGCAUCUGCGCAGACUGUGUUUGAUUAACAAGUUAACACUUCCACAACAACAGUAUGCCGAUGCACAGCAUAUGUGCUUGCAAUAAAUACAUUCCAUAAAGGUGAACGACUGGGCCUACAAUAACAAACUUUGUAGUAGCACUGUGAAAAGUGCUGCCAUGCGUAUCAGCCACAACAAAACUGCUGCUCGUCCAACCUAAUUCCAUGGAGCCACCUCUAUAAAGAUGGUUGGGCCCUUCCCAUUCUGGGUGUAACAUUUAGCUCUUGUCUUACCAGUACUCACGUACGGGGCAGAAACCUGGAGGCUUACGAAAAGGGUUCUACUUAAAUUGAGGACGACGCAACGAGCUAUGGAAAGAAGAAUGAUAGGUGUAAUGUUAAGGGAUAAGAAAAGAGCAGAUUGGGUGAGGGAACAAACGCGGGUUAAUGAUAUCUUAGUUGAAAUCAAGAAAAAGAAAUGGGCAUGGGCAGGACACGUAAUGAGGAGGGAAGAUAACCGAUGGUCAUUAAGAGUUACGGAAUGGAUUCCAAGGGAAGGAAAGCGUAGUAGAGGGCGGCAGAAAGUUAGGUGGGCGGAUGAGAUUAAGAAGUUUGCAGGGACAACAUGGCCACAAUUAGUACAUGUCCGGGGUAGUUGGAGAAGUAUGGGAGAGGCCUUUGCCCUGCAGUGGGCAUAACCAGGCUGAUGAUGAUGAUGAUGAUUUAGCUCUUCUCUCAACUUUUCCGCAUAUGUCACCAGCACUGUAUCUAAGCAUCGGCCCAUUCUUGGGUUUGUGUCCCGUGUCUCCCUUCCCUGAUGACGUAAGGUUUUCCGAGCACUCUACGCUUCUAUUAUUCUGUCACGACUUGAGUACUGCUCAUCAGUAUAGUUCCUGUACCAAACUCGUGACACUAACAAACUUAAGCUUGUUCAGCGCCGGACAACACGCACACUUUACUCUCGUCUUUUUGGUUGUCGCAAGGUCAUGCCAGCCUACGAGGAUUGCCUCAAACCCCUCAAGUAGCACACCCUGCAAUACCAGCGCAACAUUGCACUAGUCUAUACUGCGGGGUGCUUGACAGUUCUUUGAACAGCACUAAUCUUUCUUCAGUUUGUCUGAACAAGUGGUCAGCACAGCCCUAGCCCUCAUCGUGCCUCUAUGGCCCAACACCACAGCUCCAUGAUUAUAUCUGGCAUACAGACCUUUCUCUUCACCCCUCUUGGUCAUUUGGAUUCUCCUUCCUUGGGACCAGACUGAAUUGGCACUCCUGUGUGUUGUGCACCCGUCGAAUGUGUGCGUCUGUGCCGUGCUGUGUUAUUGAUGUGUGUGUAUGUGUGUGCACGUGGAGGGAAAGGAGGUGUCGUCUGCAUCCUGCAAAUCUCUGCUCUAGAUGGCUGGUUAUCAGACGCCCUAACAUACAGGCAUCAGUCUUUUCUUUAGUCUAGAGUGCCAAGUUACCACUAAGAUUAUUAUUAUUAUUAGUAUUAUUAGAAUCAUCACUACAACCACAUUGAUUGUGUUGAAGCCAGCAUGGCACAUAAUUCAAUAUAUUUCUGGAGCUUUGUGCGCUCACUCUUCUAAACAGAGUGCCAAAGAUGUACGUCUUCUUCAUGAAAAUAGUGGUGUUGUCUCGAACACUGGUGAUGCCUUUGCAGAACAUUUCUGUUUGCUAUAUGGUGUGAAAUAUGCUUCAAGCAACCUUCCUUCUCAGUCUGGCACAGUGUGUAUGCUAUCAUUCAAUGAAAACCUUGUGUUCAAGUGUAUGAAGAGCCUUAGACCUUCUCUUUCUUGUGGUGUUGAUGGUAUUUCUUCUGCAGAGCUUAACCCUUUGAGACGCUGUCUACACAAUUGUGCACAGCAGGAGAGUGAAUCAAUAGCAAAAGCACUGAUGAAAGUAAUGGUAUUUAAAAUGUGUUUAUACAUCUUGAAACAUUUAUUAUUGGAACUGUGCUGCAAUUUUGAAUAACGUGCAGAAUGUUUUAGCAAAAUGAGUGGGAAGGUACACAGCUGGGUGUUUUUACUCUGUGUCAGUAUGUUGUAUGUAGCGGGUUCACUUCUUUCAUUGUUUUUUACAAUAUCAUGCACCAGGCAUAAUCUUCAAGUGGCUGGAUAAGUGCUUUUCAAGCUUUUCAAAACACGAAAUAGUACAUGUUCUCAUAUUUUGUGUUCCUGUAGUGAGCUUUCGCAUGGAGUUAAAAUUUUGUAAACUUGACAUAAUUCGCUAAACAAUUGAAAAUUCUGAAUAUAUUCUGCAGCUGUACACUUUCUACGAUUCUGAAAAUGCAAGAGAUUGGGUGAAAGCAACUUUUCAAUCAAUGGGAUAAAGUGGCAUCUGAAAGGGUUAAGACGUAUGGAAGCAUACUUGUUCCCUGUUCUCACAAACAUCUUCAAUAGGUCUUUAAAGUGUAGUACCUUUUCUAGCACUUGGAAGGUAGCAUGGACAUUGCCCAUGCACAAAUCAGGUGCUAGAUGUGCAGUUACUAACUGCCGACCUAUAUCUAUCCUCUGCAGUGCGUCAAAAGUGUUUGAAUUGAUAUUGGAUUCCUUGCUUUCUGUUAGUGCUAAGAGCAUUUUAAUAAAUGAACAGCAUGACUUUGUGUGCCGACAACUUAAAACUAUUUGAGACUGUGAACAGUGUUCACCGCUGCAUGGACUUCCAAAAGGACAUUUUUUCACUCUCAAACUGGUGCAGAAACAAUAAGUUCUCCUAAAUGCUUCCAAUACUAUGACAUUAAGUUAUAUGCAGAAAACGCACCAUGUGAAGUUUUGAUACACCCUACGUGAUGCUCCACUCCUUAGGGUCGAUGAAAUGAAAGAUCUUGGUGUGUACUUCGACAAAAUGCUAAGCUUCUCUUCACAUAGAUAAUUACACAACAUGCCCUUCACGCUCUUGGAAUUGCAUGCCGUAUGUUGCAUGAUUUUCACUCGCGUAUUGUGUUUCUGAAAUUCUGCUGUGUGCCGCCAACUACUAGAGUAUGCCUCUGUAGGUGGGGGUGCAACGAGCAAAUCUAAUUCUGACCUCAUUGAACGCAUCCAGAAUAAAUUGAUAUCUUAAAGCACCACUUUUGCCAUUCUGGCGACCACAGUUGAGCCUUCUCAAAUGUACUUCAACUCGCACCUCUAGAUUCAAGACUUAAUCACACCUUUUGUUCCUGUAAUAAAGGUGGUCCAUGACAUUAUGCAUUCCCUAAAGCUUCUUGAUCAUAUGCAUUUGUUCGUGCCGCAACAGUAUACCAGGUAGCAUUCCACAUUCGUUGCCUGGCCUUGUUGCAAGAUUUUGCUGUAUAGGACUCGACUCCAAAGCAUACUUCAGAGUUCGUUUCCUGUGUUUUGUGUAUCUGUAGAUAAUCACGUAGGAUUAAGGGCCGAUUUACGCUCAAACCGCCCAUUGCCGCACGCCGCACCGCAUGCAUGCGGUUCGUGAAAAACGGGCGGUCGUCGCGAACCAUAGAGUUGUCGCGAACGGUCACAAAAUUGCAUUUACGCUGAAACCGCAUGAUGCGGCGCGGUUCGCAUGCGCCCUCUGGUUGUCCAAAUAGGUAACCAGCAACUGGCAACAUGCAUCAGCCAGUUGGCAGCCUCGAGUGCUGGCGACCAGCAAUACUUCGCACCGUGCCAGGAUUCUGUUAUUACGUUUGCUGUAUUAUUAGUUAUUUUUUUAUUAAUUAGCUCGAGCGGUUUGAAUGCGCCUGCAUCCGCACUUCGGUUUGGGGACGCGACGUCUGUUGAAAGCUGGCAAACAUUCGGCAGUGCGCAGAGCAACACUGUUCGAAGUCGGCAACUAUCGCCAACAGCAGAAGACACUAGCACAUUUCUGUCAAUGUAGGUUGAAGCUUCCGCAUCAUGGUGAAAACAAGGUCGAUUCAAAUAGGUCGCGAAGCUUCGGGCGAAAAGCGGUUCAGUACAGAUUGUCACCGACAUCAGCAUGGGGGGUUAUGGGACAUAGAGUUAGUAGAACAACUCUAGAGGAAAAGCUGGGCCGGAAAAGUGGGAACCUCUAGGGCGCCGCCCUGUUGCUACUGGUCAAUGUGGCCAGCGCAAUUACUAUUGAAAGGGCUAAAAACAAAUACAGGUCACCUUAUGCUUUAUCAUCUAAAAACGCAUACCUGAUGGCUUUAUGAAGGUGGUGUGUUAAUAUUAAGUUUACAGAAAGAGAUUGCUAAGUCCGUGACUUAUGUAAAUCACGAUGUACGCAUUCAUGCAAUAAAGGAUGACGCGAAUUUCGGUUUCGAAUCUGUUUUCCGGAGGCGUAGUAGUUUCGUACAGUUUAGGUUUGACAUGCGAUCGCGCGUCGACAUCGGACGCUAUGGCACACUCGUGCCUUAUGUGCCACCGAAGCCCCGAAGUGCUCUGGCAUAUACCUUCACAUGUAAGUAAACGAAUGUAUCUCCUUGUUGAGAAUAUCACGCGAGUAGGCAGCUCUUGUGGUGCAUCACGAUCGUUUGAGAAGCGUCACAGUAGAGCAUUCUUCCACAUGCGGAGCGGUGUUUUUAUUUGCAGGUUUCCCUUCAGUAGGAAAUUGCUGGACAGGCGGACCAGCGCACCGGAAUUGUACUGGCGAAGCCUCAAGCAACUCAAAGAAUCUGUUUAAUUGUUGCACUUUGAACAAUCAUGCUUUUACAAAGGCCACAGCAGAAAAACAGCCUGAUGCCGAGUAUUUCUGUGCCACGAAGUAAUCAAGAGGCGUGUGCCUAAUGCGGACGAAAUCGAGUGCAUCGAGACUUAGAACGACAGAAAGCUGAGCUAGUUGAUAUGCAAUGGCAAGCCCUUCCCUGUGUUCCAAAGGUAAAAUUUAAGCUCUAAAUUAAAGAAGACAUUUCUAGUCGGAAACAAGCAAAAAUGGUGAAUGCAGAGUAUUAGAAGCCCAAGGUACAGAAAUGAUUAGAAGUGUCGAAUGAUUGUAAGAAAAGAGUUGUAUUUUCGUAUUUGAAAAUGCAAAACUCUUUAGUGGAGGUCAAGCAAGUCAAUAUAGGUAGAAUACUCUGCAAAAUUAUGCGAGUGAGGGGAUGUCAAACAAUGGGUCAGGAAAUGCAUUGUUUUUAAGCAAAAAAGAAGCUGAUUGCCAUUACAUAAGUCACUUUAGCAUCACGAGACUGCUGCUUGAUAAAUUCAGAAAUCAACCAAAAAACAAGACACGCAAAAAUAAAAAAAAACAGUUUAAUGAUGCCCUCUCCACACUGGGAUAAAUAAAAACAAACAUCACAUCUAAUGUGGACAUAUCAGACGCCUUGUGAAACACUACCGGAAAAAUUCAGUUUCGAGCUAUGGCACUUGCCGCAUAGAUGUGGGGGGCCUUGCACUAAUAGUGAUAGUUACCACUGCAUUUAGAAAUUGAAAUCAUUCAUGCAGACAAGGAUGAUUCUUUAUAUUUUUGGCUACCACUUCAAAUGCCUCCACCAAGUGUUACAAUGCUGCACGCAGCCAUACUCAGGAUCUCGCAGCAACACCUGCAGGUAACAAGCAGAAGCAGUCAAAGUGCUGCUGUGUUCUGGACACUAUGUUUGAAAACCUUUAGGCAAGAAGAGUGCAAGAAGCAGGCAUAACAACUGCAUUUAUUUCCAUGAUUCCCCAUUUGAAUGGCCUUUUCUUUUUGCUUAGACAAUGCCUACACCUAGCCACAGCAUCUCCCUCAUACAGACUCCGCAAGCCAAGAGGCCGUGGAGGCAAAUGCAGGCAGCCAGCACACCUCGAACAGCCACCUUCACUGCGGGUGUGUCACACUAGUCGCCAAGGAAACAUUUGAGGGAAAGCGAUAGGCAAUGUGAACAGCCACUUCUCCAUGUAAACGAUACUCUUUCUCUCGGAUGACUCCUACGCCUCGCCUCGCCAGCACACUUGUGCACAAAGAUGCUGCGGAGGCACGUGCAGGUCAGAGGCAAGAAGCAGUGGUACUGGUGUCGACAUUCACCGAAUUUCUUUUUCUUACGCUGAGGCAGCCAGCACACCUCGAACAGCCACCUUGACUGCGGGUGUGUCAGUAGAUUCCUGUUGUACAUAUGCUCAUAAUAAACUUCAGUAAACUUGAACUUGAUAAUAAAUUUGAAGGCAAAUGGGACAUCGAUGCAUUGUUUUUUUGAACAUUUAUUGUACACAUACGUUAUACUUUGCAGUGUUACAGAGCGUAUUUUGAAGCUUCCUUCUAGAUUUUGCACCUUUAAUUACGUAUGUGUUGUGUGGCCCCCAGUGCAGUUCAUGUUGUAGCAGCUGCUUUGUCUGUGUAUCGCACAUUGGCUUAAGCUCGUGAUAUCCACAUACUUCUCUCACAUAUACAAAAUAAAGUUCUAUGUAGUCCUCAGUGUUACAAUAAAAAAUGAAAGUAAACAAUC